AGAAGGUCAACGUCCAGGGACAGGGUCCUGACCUUAAACUACCAGAGGAGAGAAGGUCAACGUCCAGGGACAGGGUCCUGACCUUAAACUACCAGAGGAGAGAAGGUCAACGUCCAGGGACAGGGUCCUGACCUUAAACUACCAGAGGAGAGAAGGUCAACGUCCAGGGACAGGGUCCUGACCUUAAACUACCAGAGGAGAGAAGGUCAACGUCCAGGGACAGGGUCCUGACCUUAAACUACCAGAGGAGAGAAGGUCAACGUCCAGGGACAGGGUCCUGACCUUAAACUACCAGAGGAGAGAAGGUCAACGUCCAGGGACAGGGUCCUGACCUUAAACUACCAGAGGAGAGAAGGUCAAUGUCCAGGGACAGGGUCCUGACCUUAAACUACCAGAGGAGAGAAGGUCAACGUCCAGGGACAGGGUCCUGACCUUAAACUACCAGAGGAGAGAAGGUCAACGUCCAGGGACAGGGUCCUGACCUUAAACUACCAGAGGAGAGAAGGUCAACGUCCAGGGACAGGGUCCUGACCUUAAACUACCAGAGGAGAGAAGGUCAACGUCCAGGGACAGGGUCCUGACCUUAAACUACCAGAGGAGAGAAGGUCAACGUCCAGGGACAGGGUCCUGACCUUAAACUACCAGA